GUCCUAGUAGCGCAAUGGAUAGCAUGUUGGACUUCUAAUCCAAAGACCGUGGGUUGAAAUCCCACCUGGGAUG